GUGCCAGCCGCCGCGGUAAUACGUAGGUGGCAAGCGUUGUCCGGAUUUAUUGGGCGUAAAGCGCGCGCAGGUGGUUCGUUGCGUCCGAGGUGAAAUCUCCCGGCUCAACUGGGAGGGGUCUUCGGAUACGGGCGGACUUGAGGAGAGCAGAGGUAGGCGGAAUUCUGGGUGUAGUGGUGAAAUGCGUAGAUAUCCAGAGGAACACCAGUGGCGAAGGCGGCCUACUGGGCUCCACCUGACACUGAGGCGCGAAAGCGUGGGGAGCGAACCGGAUUAGAUACCCCCGUAGUCC
rnacentral:rRNA from 1 species